rnacentral:rRNA from 1 species
GACGAACGCUGGCGGCGUGCCUAAUACAUGCAAGUCGAGCGGACUUUCAAGAAGCUUGCUUUUUGAAAGUUAGCGGCGGACGGGUGAGUAACACGUGGGCAACCUGCCUGCAAGACGGGGAUAACUCCGGGAAACCGGGGCUAAUACCGGAUAAUAUCUUCCUUCGCAUGAAGGAAGGUUGAAAGGCGGCGCAAGCUGCCGCUUGCAGAUGGGCCCGCGGCGCAUUAGCUAGUUGGUGAGGUAACGGCUCACCAAGGCGACGAUGCGUAGCCGACCUGAGAGGGUGAUCGGCCACACUGGGACUGAGACACGGCCCAGACUCCUACGGGAGGCAGCAGUAGGGAAUCUUCCGCAAUGGACGAAAGUCUGACGGAGCAACGCCGCGUGAGCGAAGAAGGUCUUCGGAUCGUAAAGCUCUGUUGUCAGGGAAGAACAAGUACCGUUCGAACAGGGCGGUACCUUGACGGUACCUGACCAGAAAGCCACGGCUAACUACGUA